rnacentral:sRNA from 1 species
AUUUAGCCCCGAUUGAAGCGGCAUUCUUUUUUGCUUUUUAUUACUCUUUCUUUUUAUGUUUUCGUUUUCUAAAGCAAAAAAGAUACAGCGGAAAGCGGGUGGGAUU